rnacentral:rRNA from 1 species
UACGUAGGUGGCAAGCGUUAUCCGGAAUUACUGGGCUUAAAGGGUACGUAGGCGGCGCUGUCAGUCGGGUGUGAAAUCCCACGGCUCAACCGUGGAACUGCGCCCGAUACUGCAGUGCUUGAGGGAGACAGAGGUAAGCGGAACUGAUGGUGGAGCGGUGAAAUGCGUUGAUAUCAUCAGGAACACCAGUGGCGAAAGCGGCUUACUGGGUCUCUUCUGACGCUGAGGUACGAAAGCUAGGGGAGCGAAGGGG